UUCAAAUCCAAUUUAUCUGUUGUUUCUUUUGUUACUUAUGUUGAUCUAAGGACCAUACUGAGAUAAUCACUGUUUGAGAAAUGCGAUACCAGAAGGAGUCAAGUGAGGAAUGUUUACAAAUCUGAUCUGGAUAGGUUAAUUAGGGGACGUGGGGUGUGUUCCAAAAGGAGAGCAUACAUGAGGAAAUUGAGAAGCUGGAAGAAGGCCAGUUCAUCUGGAAUGGGGAAGGGAAGAAUGGCAAGGAAUGAAAUUAGAGGUGGAGGAGAGCCAGAUUGUGAUUAAGAUGGUAAGCCAUAAAAGGAUUUUGAUUUUGAUUCCAAGAAUGGUGUGAAAGUAUUUAAGCGUAAAGAG
rnacentral:lncRNA from 1 species